UUGAACGCUGGCGGCAGGCCUAACACAUGCAAGUCGCGCGGAUGAAGGGAGCUUGCUCCUGGAUUCAGCGGCGGACGGGUGAGUAAUGCCUAGGAAUCUGCCUGGUAGUGGGGGAUAACGUCCGGAAACGGGCGCUAAUACCGCAUACGUCCUGAGGGAGAAAGUGGGGGAUCUUCGGACCUCACGCUAUCAGAUGAGCCUAGGUCGGAUUAGCUAGUUGGUGGGGUAAAGGCCUACCAAGGCGACGAUCCGUAACUGGUCUGAGAGGAUGAUCAGUCACCCGGAAAUUGGAAACGGUCCCAGAACCCAAGGGGGGGCAGAAGGGGGGAUAUUUGGCAAAUGGGGGAAACCCUGGCCCAGCCAUGCCGGGGGGUUGAAGAAGGGCUUCGAUUUGAAAAGCCCUUUAAGUUGGGAGGAGGGGCAGGAGGUUAAUCCCUUGCUGUUUGGACGUUACAAACGGAAAGAGCCCCGGCUACCUUCGU
rnacentral:rRNA from 1 species